rnacentral:tRNA from 1 species
GGAGGGAUGGCCGAGCGGUUCAAGGCGCACGCCUGGAAAGCGUGUUGGGUGAAAGCCCUCGCGGGUUCGAAUCCCGCUCCCUCCGCCA